rnacentral:rRNA from 1 species
UACGUAGGUGGCAAGCGUUGUCCGGAAUUACUGGGUGUAAAGCGCGUGUAGGCGGCAGGCCAAGUCUGCGGUGAAAGCGCCCGGCUCAACUGGGCGAGGUCCGUGGAAACUGGUCAGCUGGAGGACGGUAGAGGCGAGUGGAAUUCCCGGUGUAGUGGUGAAAUGCGUAGAGAUCGGGAGGAACACCUGUGGCGAAGGCGGCUCACUGGACCGGUUCUGACGCUGAGGCGCGAAAGCGUGGGGAGCAAACGGG